CGCACCUUCAGGCCGCGCUUCUACUCGCGCGCAGUUGUCACGUGUCGCGUGCGCGGUCCUCUCCGCCGCGCUCAGGCGCGGGCCCUGCAGGCCUUCUCCCUGUGCCCGUGAGGAGGGCCUCCUGCAGCGUGCCCCGGCCUCUUGGGCAGGUUUGACGUGUGAGAUGAGGGUUCCCACGGCCGGUCGGCCAGUCCCCGCCGAGCCCAGGCCGGUCCCCUGGCGGAGGCGCCCGCCCUCCCCACUCCGCUCUUCUCUUGCCCGAGGGGAACCUACUCAGUGUUCCGGAGGCAGCCUCCCCGGGCGGCCAGCCCCGGCCGAGGAGACCGCCCCUGUCCUGGCCUGCAGCGGGAGGGACCUGGGCUCUGACUUGGAAUCACCUUCCAGACCCUCCUUCAGGCCAUUGCCGGGCCUGACCCCGCUCCACCUGAAACAGUCCUGUGAGCUCGGCGCUGAUGAUUUGGCGAUUCGUGUAAUUUCUCCUGAUUUUGAUCAACACUAAACUCAAUCAAGCCCACAUAUUGGAGGGAGCCUUGGUGGGAAGAUCUUUGUUGAUGUUGAAGGAAUAGAUACGUGUGGUUUUUGAAAUGUGAUUCUUUAUCUUUCUAAUUAAGAUACUGAGUACAUUUAUCAUCAAGCAGGACCCAAUUUUUGCAGAUCUAAAUCUGAAACUACAGAAACCAUAAGGCCAUGCUAUUUCCACUUCUCCUUGUCCAAAACAUGGAUUAUAACAGCCAAUAAGACUAUAUUUAUAUUUGUAAGAAUUUUAGGAGCAAAGCAAUCUCAAGAUGUUUCCAAUACUGGUCGACACUGAGGCCCAUCUCUGUGAGGCGGGUGAAUCCCUGCCUAAGGGGGGCUCAGCGUCUGACAGAGAGAGGAUCGGCGCUGCGCUGCCUGGGCAACCUUGCCCAGACCACCUUUGGUGCAGGUCUGGAGAUCCACACGGGGAGUGAGCUGCUGUCAUGGAGGGGACAGGAGACUGAUGGAACUGUCAUAUCUGAAGAUUUAUGUAUUUGCUGCACUGGGGCCUGAACCUGGGUCACCUCCCUGCUAGGCAGGUGUUCUACCACAGAGUUACAUCUCCACCCUGUACCUGAAAAUUUGGAGAUCAAUUUUCUAAGCUUAGUUAAAUUUUUAUCAUUUUGAAAAUAAAGUUAUUUCCCAGCAUACUUGGGGUGUGGAAGCCCACUGAAAUCUUCCAGUG
rnacentral:lncRNA from 1 species